rnacentral:lncRNA from 1 species
AUGCUCAGCUUGGGGAACCCACAGUCAGAACACAGGGAAGCUGGGACUUGGGUGAAUUUGUUUCCACCUCUAAAAUGCCAAGUGACCUGUGACCCAGCCCUGCCUCUUUUUCAGAUACCAAUUCUUGGGGACUCUCUUUCUGAAAUACCUCUGGCAGUCCUUCUCCCUCGUCUCCAGGAUCUGCCACCACUUUCCCCCCCGGACCUCAACGUCUUGCGGCUGUUCUCACUGAAUUUGUUUCUCCUGCUCUACAGAGUCAUCAGAAAGCCCUUCCUGAAACCACCUGGGACACAUCACUGGAAAGCACCUCUUGGUCCCCAAGUUCAUAAGCCUGGCGUGUCAAGCAUAUACUGCAGGAGCAGACCAGACUAUCGCCACCAGACUAUCCACAGAGGGUACUUCUGGGUAACCAGAAAUAGUCACUGGAGCAUCAUCUCCCCGCAAGUACACUUCUGUUCAUCUCGUCCCAGGAGGCUUACACCCUUGGGAAGCAGGAUGUGCAGAGGAAGGAACUGA